GGCUCCGUAGCUAGAAGGAAAUAAGCGCCCGUCUAGCGAAUUGGGAGUCGUGGGUUCGAUUCCCACCGGAGCAC
rfam:Aedes albopictus isolate Foshan contig78197, whole genome shotgun sequence.